CUGCUUAACACAAGUUGAGUAGGGAAAGUUUUUCGGUGUAGGAUGAGACUAUAUAGUAUCAGCUAGUUGGUAAGGUAAUGGCUUACCAAGGCUAUGACGCUUAACUGGUCUGAGAGGAUGAUCAGUCACACUGGAACUGAGACACGGUCCAGACUCCUACGGGAGGCAGCAGUAGGGAAUAUUGCGCAAUGGGGGAAACCCUGACGCAGCAACGCCGCGUGGAGGAUGACACUUUUCGGAGCGUAAACUCCUUUUCUUAGGGAAGAAUUCUGACGGUACCUAAGGAAUAAGCACCGGCUAACUCCGUGCCAGCAGCCGCGGUAAUACGGAGGGUGCAAGCGUUACUCGGAAUCACUGGGCGUAAAGGGCGCGUAGGCGGAUUAUCAAGUCUCUUGUGAAAUCUAAUGGCUUAACCAUUAAACUGCUUGGGAAACUGAUAGUCUAGAGUGAGGGAGAGGCAGAUGGAAUUGGUGGUGUAGGGGUAAAAUCCGUAGAUAUCACCAAGAAUACCCAUUGCGAAGGCGAUCUGCUGGAACUCAACUGACGCUAAGGCGCGAAAGCGUGGGGAGCAAACAGGAUUAGAUACCCUGGUAGUCCACGCCCUAAACGAUGUACACUAGUUGUUGGGGUGCUAGUCAUCUCAGUAAUGCAGCUAACGCAUUAAGUGUACCGCCUGGGGAGUACGGUCGCAAGAUUAAAACUCAAAGGAAUAGACGGGGACCCGCACAAGCGGUGGAGCAUGUGGUUUAAUUCGAAGAUACGCGAAGAACCUUACCUGGGCUUGAUAUCCUAAGAACCUUAUAGAGAUAUGAGGGUGCUAGCUUGCUAGAACUUAGAGACAGGUGCUGCACGGCUGUCGUCAGCUCGUGUCGUGAGAUGUUGGGUUAAGUCCCGCAACGAGCGCAACCCACGUAUUUAGUUGCUAACGGUUCGGCCGAGCACUCUAAAUAGACUGCCUUCGUAAGGAGGAGGAAGGUGUGGACGACGUCAAGUCAUCAUGGCCCUUAUGCCCAGGGCGACACACGUGCUACAAUGGCAUAUACAAUGAGACGCAAUACCGCGAGGUGGAGCAAAUCUAUAAAAUAUGUCCCAGUUCGGAUUGUUCUCUGCAACUCGAGAGCAUGAAGCCGGAAUCGCUAGUAAUCGUAGAUCAGCCAUGCUACGGUGAAUACGUUCCCGGGUCUUGUACUCACCGCCCGUCACACCAUGGGAGUUGAUUUCACUCGAAGCCGGAAUACUAAACUAGUUACCGUCCACAGUGGAAUCAGCGACUGGGGUGAAGUCGUAACAAGGUAACCGUAGGAGAACCUGCGGUUGGAUCACCUCCUUUCUA
rnacentral:rRNA from 1 species